rnacentral:lncRNA from 1 species
UCACGCACUCUUUGCUGUUCAAUGUAGGUACCAGCUGGAGGAUGAGUCUGCGCAUUUGGAUGAAAUGCCACUAAUGAUGUCUGAAGAAGGCUUUGAGAAUGAGGAAAGUGAUUACCACACCUUACCACGAGCCAGGAUAAUGCAAAGGAAAAGAGGACUGGAGUGGUUUGUCUGUGAUGGCUGGAAGUUCCUCUGUACCAGUUGCUGUGGUUGGCUGAUAAAUAUUUGUCGAAGAAAGAAAGAACUGAAAGCUCGUACAGUAUGGCUUGGAUGUCCUGAAAAGUGUGAAGAAAAACAUCCCAGGAAUUCUAUAAAAAAUCAAAAAUACAAUGUGUUUACCUUUAUACCUGGGGUAAGACUAUUGCGU